rnacentral:rRNA from 1 species
UGGGGAAUAUUGGACAAUGGGCGCAAGCCUGAUCCAGCCAUGCCGCGUGAGUGAUGAAGGCCCUAGGGUUGUAAAGCUCUUUCACCGGUGAAGAUAAUGACGGUAACCGGAGAAGAAGCCCCGGCUAACUUCGUGCCAGCAGCCGCGGUAAUACGAAGGGGGCUAGCGUUGUUCGGAUUUACUGGGCGUAAAGGGCACGUAGGCGGACUUUUAAGUCAGGGGUGAAAUCCCGGGGCUCAACCCCGGAACUGCCUUUGGUACUGGAAGUCUUGAGUAUGGUAGAGGUGAGUGGAAUUCCGAGUGUAGAGGUGAAAUUCGUAGAUAUUCGGAGGAACACCAGUGGCGAAGGCGGCUCACUGGACCAUUACUGACGCUGAGGUGCGAAAGCGUGGGGAGCAAACAGG